rnacentral:misc_RNA from 1 species
CUGCCUAUGAAACGCUGAAAGACAUGUCAAAGACAUAUAUUCUGCAUGAUAGUGAACCGGGUCCUCUUGUGCAAUUGGGUUGUGGGACAGUCUCAGCAGCCUUUGGAGCAUCAUGUGUUUAUCCCUUGCAGGUUAUUAGAACCAGAAUGCAAGCACAACGUUCUAAUUCUGCUGCUGCUUAUAAGGGUAUGUCUGAUGUAUUUUGGAGAACACUCCAGAAUGAAGGUUAUAGAGGUUUCUACAAAGGACUCUUCCCAAAUCUUCUCAAGGUUGUGCCAUCUGCAAGCAUAACAUAUUUGGUUUACGAAGCUAUGAAAAAGAGUCUGGAUCUUUGAUUGGGGGGCACUGUAGUCACGUCCUGUGGCAACUAAAAGGAUUUCAGAUAUGGAAAUGGUCAUAUGCCGAUGAUGACGAAAAUAAGAAUAGGAUUGCUAGUCAAGUAGGCAAUACAAUUAUUUGAGACUUGUUGAGUUAUAGAAAAGACGGUAAUUCCCCUUCGUAAAUUGGGGCACAUAGUUUUGUUAGCCGAAGAGGUUUUUUCCGGAAGCUUAUUAGCCUUAUCAAGGUAGCGCUGAGAAACAAUAUCAUAUGACAUCAUAAUGUCCGACUUUUGAAGGUGAUGGGUCUUCUUCAUUUUCUUCUCUCGCCAUUCCCACNNNNNNNNNNNNNCAUUAUCUCUAAGAUGACAACUUCUAAUUUUCAUUACUUCCUGAAGUCGAGGAAACACAGGGA